CCUACGGGAGGCAGCAGUGAGGAAUAUUGGUCAAUGGGCGCAAGCCUGAACCAGCCAAGUCGCGUGAGGGAUGACGGUCCUAUGGAUUGUAAACCUCUUUUGUCGGGGAGCAAGGCCCGCCACGUGUGGCGGGAAGGAGAGUACCCGAAGAAAAAGCAUCGGCUAACUCCGUGCCAGCAGCCGCGGUAAUACGGAGGAUGCGAGCGUUAUCCGGAUUUAUUGGGUUUAAAGGGUGCGUAGGCGGAAGGUUAAGUCAGCGGUCAAAUGUCGGUGCUCAACACCGGCCUGCCGUUGAAACUGGUCUUCGUGAGGGAGCGAGAAGUAUGGGGAAUGCGUGGUGUAGCGGGGAAAUGCAUAGAUAUGACGCAGAAGUCCGAUUGCGAAGGCAGCAUACCGGCGCUCAACUGACGCUGAGGCACGAAAGCGUGGGGAUCGAACAGGAUUAGAUACCCGGGUAGUC
rnacentral:rRNA from 1 species